GAUGAACGCUGGCGGCGUGCCUAAUACAUGCAAGUCGAGCGAACAGACGAGGAGCUUGCUCCUCUGACGUUAGCGGCGGACGGGUGAGUAACACGUGGAUAACCUACCUAUAAGACUGGGAUAACUUCGGGAAACCGGAGCUAAUACCGGAUAAUAUAUUGAACCGCAUGGUUCAAUAGUGAAAGACGGUUUUGCUGUCACUUAUAGAUGGAUCCGCGCCGCAUUAGCUAGUUGGUAAGGUAACGGCUUACCAAGGCAACGAUGCGUAGCCGACCUGAGAGGGUGAUCGGCCACACUGGAACUGAGACACGGUCCAGACUCCUACGGGAGGCAGCAGUAGGGAAUCUGCCGCAAUGGGCGAAAGCCUGACGGAGCAACGCCGCGUGAGUGAUGAAGGUCUUCGGAUCGUAAAACUCUGUUAUUAGGGAAAAACAAAUGUGUAAGUAACUAUGCACGUCUUGACGGUACCUAAUCAGAAAGCCACGGCUAACUACGUG
rnacentral:rRNA from 1 species